rnacentral:rRNA from 1 species
UACGAAGGGGGCUAGCGUUGCUCGGAAUCACUGGGCGUAAAGGGCGCGUAGGCGGCCCGCUAAGUCGAACGUGAAAUCCCCGAGCUCAACUCGGGAACUGCGUCCGAUACUGGCGGGCUUGAAUCCGGGAGAGGGAUGCGGAAUUCCAGGUGUAGCGGUGAAAUGCGUAGAUAUCUGGAGGAACACCGGUGGCGAAGGCGGCAUCCUGGACCGGCAUUGACGCUGAGGCGCGAAAGCUAGGGGAGCAAACGGG